UACGUAGGUGGCAAGCGUUGUUCGGAAUUAUUGGGCGUAAAGAGCUUGUAGGCGGUUUGUCGCGUCUGCUGUGAAAUUUCGGGGCUCAACCCCGAACUUGCAGUGGGUACGGGCAGACUAGAGUGUGGUAGGGGAGACUGGAAUUCCUGGUGUAGCGGUGAAAUGCGCAGAUAUCAGGAGGAACACCGAUGGCGAAGGCAGGUCUCUGGGCCAUAACUGACGCUGAGAAGCGAAAGCAUGGGGAGCGAACAGG
rnacentral:rRNA from 1 species